rnacentral:rRNA from 1 species
GACGAACGCUGGCGGCGUGCUUAACACAUGCAAGUCGAACGGACAGGCCAUGCUUUUGUGGGGUGCUCGAGUGGCGAACGGGUGAGUAACACGUGAGUAACCUGCCCUUGACUUUGGGAUAACUUCAGGAAACUGGGGCUAAUACCGGAUAGGAGCUCCUGCUCCAUGGUGGGGGUUGGAAAGUUUCGGCGGUUGGGGAUGGACUCGCGGCUUAUCAGCUUGUUGGUGGGGUAGUGGAUUACCAAGGCUUCGACGGGUAGCCGGCCUGAGAGGGUGACCGGCGACAAUGGGACUGAGAGACGGCCCAGACUCCUACGGGAGGCAGCAGUGGGGAAUAUUGCACAAUGGGCGGAAGCCUGAUGCAGCAACGCCGCGUGCGGGAUGACGGCCUUCGGGUUGUAAACCGCUUUGGCCUGUGACGAAGCGUGAUUGACGGUAAUGGGUAAAAAAGCACCGGCUAACUACGUG